rnacentral:misc_RNA from 1 species
AACCUCACCCCACUUGGGUUUUUGCCCAAGCGGUUGGUGGAUUGGGUGUUGCCAGUACAAUGGCUCGCCUGAAAAGUAUAAGCACUUUGGAUGUAAUACGUUUCAUCCUUUCGAGUGGCUGAUAACCCCACAUAUCUCAUG